CCAAGGCUAAAUACUCCUGACUGACCGAUAGUGAACCAGUACCGUGAGGGAAAGGCGAAAAGAACCCCGGCGAGGGGAGUGAAAAAGAACCUGAAACCGUGUACGUACAAGCAGUGGGAGCCUCUUUUAUGGGGUGACUGCGUACCUUUUGUAUAAUGGGUCAGCGACUUAUAUUCUGUAGCAAGGUUAACCGAAUAGGGGAGCCGAAGGGAAACCGAGUCUUAACUGGGCGUUAAGUUGCAGGGUAUAGACCCGAAACCCGGUGAUCUAGCCAUGGGCAGGUUGAAGGUUGGGUAACACUAACUGGAGGACCGAACCGACUAAUGUUGAAAAAUUAGCGGAUGACUUGUGGCUGGGGGUGAAAGGCCAAUCAAACCGGGAGAUAGCUGGUUCUCCCCGAAAGCUAUUUAGGUAGCGCCUCGUGAAUUCAUCUCCGGGGGUAGAGCACUGUUUCGGCAAGGGGGUCAUCCCGACUUACCAACCCGAUGCAAACUGCGAAUACCGGAGAAUGUUAUCACGGGAGACACACGGCGGGUGCUAACGUCCGUCGUGAAGAGGGAAACAACCCAGACCGCCAGCUAAGGUCCCAAAGUCAUGGUUAAGUGGGAAACGAUGUGGGAAGGCCCAGACAGCCAGGAUGUUGGCUUAGAAGCAGCCAUCAUUUAAAGAAAGCGUAAUAGCUCACUGGUCGAGUCGGCCUGCGCGGAAGAUGUAACGGGGCUAAACCAUGCACCGAAGCUGCGGCAGCGACGCUAUGCGUUGUUGGGUAGGGGAGCGUUCUGUAAGCCUGUGAAGGUGUGCUGUGAGGCAUGCUGGAGGUAUCAGAAGUGCGAAUGCUGACAUAAGUAACGAUAAAGCGGGUGAAAAGCCCGCUCGCCGGAAGACCAAGGGUUCCUGUCCAACGUUAAUCGGGGCAGGGUGAGUCGACCCCUAAGGCGAGGCCGAAAGGCGUAGUCGAUGGGAAACAGGUUAAUAUUCCUGUACUUGGUGUUACUGCGAAGGGGGGACGGAGAAGGCUAUGUUGGCCGGGCGACGGUUGUCCCGGUUUAAGCGUGUAGGCUGGUUUUCCAGGCAAAUCCGGAAAAUCAAGGCUGAGGCGUGAUGACGAGGCACUACGGUGCUGAAGCAACAAAUGCCCUGCUUCCAGGAAAAGCCUCUAAGCAUCAGGUAACAUCAAAUCGUACCCCAAACCGACACAGGUGGUCAGGUAGAGAAUACCAAGGCGCUUGAGAGAACUCGGGUGAAGGAACUAGGCAAAAUGGUGCCGUAACUUCGGGAGAAGGCACGCUGAUAUGUAGGUGAAGUCCCUUGCGGAUGGAGCUGAAAUCAGUCGAAGAUACCAGCUGGCUGCAACUGUUUAUUAAAAACACAGCACUGUGCAAACACGAAAGUGGACGUAUACGGUGUGACGCCUGCCCGGUGCCGGAAGGUUAAUUGAUGGGGUCAGCGCAAGCGAAGCUCUUGAUCGAAGCCCCGGUAAACGGCGGCCGUAACUAUAACGGUCCUAAGGUAGCGAAAUUCCUUGUCGGGUAAGUUCCGACCUGCACGAAUGGCGUAAUGAUGGCCAGGCUGUCUCCACCCGAGACUCAGUGAAAUUGAACUCGCUGUGAAGAUGCAGUGUACCCGCGGCAAGACGGAAAGACCCCGUGAACCUUUACUAUAGCUUGACACUGAACAUUGAGCCUUGAUGUGUAGGAUAGGUGGGAGGCUUGAAGUGUGGACGCCAGUCUGCAUGGAGCCGACCUUGAAAUACCACCCUUUAAUGUUUGAUGUUCUAACGUUGACCCGUAAUCCGGGUUGCGGACAGUGUCUGGUGGGUAGUUUGACUGGGGCGGUCUCCUCCUAAAGAGUAACGGAGGAGCACGAAGGUUGGCUAAUCCUGGUCGGACAUCAGGAGGUUAGUGCAAUGGCAUAAGCCAGCUUGACUGCGAGCGUGACGGCGCGAGCAGGUGCGAAAGCAGGUCAUAGUGAUCCGGUGGUUCUGAAUGGAAGGGCCAUCGCUCAACGGAUAAAAGGUACUCCGGGGAUAACAGGCUGAUACCGCCCAAGAGUUCAUAUCGACGGCGGUGUUUGGCACCUCGAUGUCGGCUCAUCACAUCCUGGGGCUGAAGUAGGUCCCAAGGGUAUGGCUGUUCGCCAUUUAAAGUGGUACGCGAGCUGGGUUUAGAACGUCGUGAGACAGUUCGGUCCCUAUCUGCCGUGGGCGCUGGAGAACUGAGGGGGGCUGCUCCUAGUACGAGAGGACCGGAGUGGACGCAUCACUGGUGUUCGGGUUGUCAUGCCAAUGGCACUGCCCGGUAGCUAAAUGCGGAAGAGAUAAGUGCUGAAAGCAUCUAAGCACGAAACUUGCCCCGAGAUGAGUUCUCCCUGACUCCUUGAGAGUCCUAAGGAACGUUGAAGACGACGACGUUGAUAGGCCGGGUGUGUAAGCGCAGCGAUGCGUUGAGCUAACCGGUACUAAUGAACCGUGAGGCUUAACCUU
rnacentral:rRNA from 1 species